UCAAAAUAAAUAUUUUUAAAAUCCAGUUCUGUACUUUAUCAUGAUGCAUGGAAUUCAAAUGUGAAAGGUAGGCUCCAGGCUCUGAGCUGUCAGCACAGAGCCUGAUGCGACACUCAAACCCACAAACUGAGAUCAUGACCUGAGCUGAAGUCGGAUACUUAACCAACUGAGCCGCCCAGGAGCUCCUAAAACUGAAAUUUUGAAGUUAAGUGAAAUUGUUAGUCAUUAGCUUAUUCUGAUAUCCUAGAAAAAUUCAGUACAAGUGAAGUUUUUUGUCCUAUUCAGGAAAGAAAUUUUGAUUUUACUUAUGGAAACACAAGUUUAAUGAGAGAUUUUAAGAGGUUUAAAUUGUGCAUUAAUACAUUAGUAUUUAUUGUCUCCUUUUCCCAGCUCUUGCUUUUAAGUUAUAAAAUCUUGUAGUACUUUCAGGAGAUCAAGUUAAUAGCAGAGUGCUACUGAUGCUGUUGGAACUCUUCUUAAGAUCUCUUUGUAUGAUUCAGUUAUAAUUCCCCUCAGGUGGGAAUUGGUUCCGCAGUUACAGACUGCAGCUGGAAUGUGCCUAAUGGAGGGAAAUUAAACUGUUUCAUGCUGCUUUUUGAGCCGAUGUGGAGCAGUGCAAGAACUCAGAGAAACUGGUGUAUAAAAAUCUUGUACUUCCAACUACGCAUUGAGCCACUCCAGGAGGAUGCAACUGCUGUGGCAAGGACCCUUAGACAGAACUUUGGAGACUGAACCACUGGAUUUUCUGCAUUUCUUGAGGUGAAUUCACAGAUCAGACUUCCCUCAAUCUCCACUACUUACAUGCCACCUCAAGGAACCAAGUGCCAAAAUUUGGGGGAGUCCAUUACGAUAACAGCACAAAUUGCUUGAACACUUUCCAUAUGCCACUCUUCUGGGUGUUUUUCAUGUACCAUCGCAUUGGGUCUUCACAGCAUCCUCAUCAGGUAAAGUACUAUUAUUAGUGUCGCUUUACAUAUAAAGAAACAAACUCUCAGAAAUUAAGAGUGCCAAAGAUUGCACCGUUAAUUAAAUGGCACUGCCUACUGCAAAGACUACAGUCUUGACCAGCAGGCUGUACUGCCUCCCAAACAAGUAAUUCUUGGUCAGAAUUAAGAAUUAUAAUUCAAGGAAUAAUUGUAUGGUUUAUAAGAUACUAUCAUUUGGUUGAAGGGCUAAAACAUGUAACUAAGCAUUUGAUGAUGAUGUCAGAGGUAAAUUUUUUUUUUUAAUUUUUUUUU